UGGGCAGUGGUGGUGGGGUGGCUGGGGCAGUGGCAGAGGGUGGAUAAGGCAGGGGCAGAGGGUGGCUGGGCAGUGGUGGUGGGGUGGCUGGACAGAGGGUGGCUGGGGCAGUGGCAGAGGGUGGCUGGGCAGUGGUGGUGGGGUGGCUGGACAGAGGGUGGCUGGGGCAGUGGCAGAGGGUGGCUGGGCAGUGGCAGAGGGUGGCUGGGGCAGUGGCAGAGGGUGGCUGGGGCAGUG